rnacentral:rRNA from 1 species
AGCGAACGCUGGCGGCAGGCCUAACACAUGCAAGUCGAACGAUCCUUCGGGAUAGUGGCGGACGGGUGAGUAACACGUGGGAACGUACCUUUAGGUUCGGGAUAACUCAGGGAAACUUGAGCUAAUACCGGAUAAGCCCUUUUGGGGAAAGAUUUAUCGCCUUUAGAGCGGCCCGCGUUAGAUUAGCUAGUUGGUGAGGUAAAGGCUCACCAGGCUCCGAUAUAUAGCCGGUCUGUGAGGAUGAUCAGCCACACUGGGACUGAGACACGGCCCAGACUCCUACGGGAGGCAGCAGUGGGGAAUCUUGCGCAAUGGGCGAAAGCCUGACGCAGCCAUGCCGCGUGAAUGAUGAAGGUCUUAGGAUUGUAAAAUUCUUUUAGCAGGGACGAUAAUGACGGUACCUGCAGAAAAAGCCCCGGCUAACUUCGUGCCAGCAGCCGCCGUAAUAC